rnacentral:tRNA from 1 species
ACCUGGCUGGCUCAAUCAGUAGAGCAUGUGACUCUUGAUCUUGGGGUUGUGAGUUCGAGCCCCACGUUGGGCG